AGAAAUUUAGGAUAAACUUAAACCAAGAGCCUUCAAAGCUCAAAAUAUGGACUAACACCAUAAUUUCU
rnacentral:tRNA from 1 species